GGGGCUCGUAGUAGAGGUGCACCUAGAGAUGGUACUGUGAGGUUCGAGGGCAGAGUGCCUGCAAGGACUUAUGCUAUACGUUCCCGUUAAGAGGCAGAGUCUCCCGAUGUGAUUACGGGUACCUUUUCUAUCUAUGAUAUAUCUGUUGUUACUUUGAUUGACCCGAGGUCUACCCGUUCCUAUAUUUGUAUGAAAUUGAC
rnacentral:lncRNA from 1 species